UUGUUGAAAUCAGUUUCCUUCCAAUCUUAAUUGCAAUCACAAUAACCACGCUUUUUGUAAUAGGCCAUUCAGAAAACCCUAAAUCUCAAACACAAAAAUUAUCAUCAGACCCCAAGACUUCUUCAUCUUCAAUCGCGAUUGAAAGCAACCAGUCUUUAUGGAUAAAUUGAUUGAAAAACUAAUUGAAUGCCGACGACGAGUUGCGGUGAUCAGCUCUUAA
rnacentral:lncRNA from 1 species